UAGGGAAUCUUCCGCAAUGGGCGAAAGCCUGACGGAGCAACGCCGCGUGAGUGAUGAAGGUCUUCGGAUCGUAAAACUCUGUUAUUAGGGAAGAACAAAUGUGUAAGUAACUAUGCACGUCUUGACGGUACCUAAUCAGAAAGCCACGGCUAACUACGUGCCAGCAGCCGCGGUAAUACGUAGGUGGCAAGCGUUAUCCGGAAUUAUUGGGCGUAAAGCGCGCGUAGGCGGUUUUUUAAGUCUGAUGUGAAAGCCCACGGCUCAACCGUGGAGGGUCAUUGGAAACUGGAAAACUUGAGUGCAGAAGAGGAAAGUGGAAUUCCAGGUGUAGCGGUGAAAUGCGCAGAGAUAUGGAGGAACACCAGUGGCGAAGGCGACUUUCUGGUCUGUAACUGACGCUGAUGUGCGAAAGCGGGGGGAUCAAACAGG
rnacentral:rRNA from 1 species